UUCACCACAAGCCUCCAUACUCCAAUUGCACCAACUUCCCCUCCUACAAGCUUCUUGAACCAAAAAAUCUUUUCUGAUGGGGAAGAUCAGCCAAAGCUGCGACCACAGAGCAUACUAAGAUUUCCCCCUCAAGCUAGGCGACCUCGCUCUGAUACCACUUGAUGGAAAAAAAUAAUUGAGCAUUUCCUGUAAACCCCGAGAUCUCUGCCCCUUUCGUAAAGAGAAAAAUUGAGAAAUAAAAACAACACAAGAAUUUAACGUGGAAACCCAAAACCGGGAUUCCCCCCUCAAGCUAGGCGACCUCGCUCUGAUACCACUAGUUGGGAAAAAAAUGACUCUUUCCCGUAAACCCCGAGAUCUCCGCCCCUAUUGUAAAGAGAAAAAUUGAGAAAUAAAAACAACACAAGAAGUUAACGUGGAAACCCAAAAUCGGAAAAAAAUCACAACCGUUGUCAAAAGAUAACAACUGACCACUAUGUGAAGAAUCCUUACAAUCACAUAAAUCUCAGUACAUUCUCCUAACAAACGGUGUUAGAAAUGCAUUCGGUUUGGUACAUUUGAAAACAUAACUUAAACCCCUUAUAUAGGCAAGUCUCCAAACUACUCUUCAAACAUUUUUUCAAUGAGGGAUAAUGACCCUUCUCAUUUUUAAGCAAAAUCCCAACAUUUACCUUUUAGACAAACAAGCAGUAAAGCUCAGCAAUUCCAGAAUAAAAUAGCAAAAUCAGCGGAAAUCGAGCGGCAAAUCCACGGCUCUUAAAAAGCUUGAAAUCACUGAUUUCUCAAGUGCAAACUAAACGACAAGCGAACGAAGCUGAAGCUCAGCAAAUCCACAGUACGGCAGCAAAACCAGAAAACUUGUAAUUCAAAAUAGCCUUCUAAAACCAGAAACGCUCAAGCCAUGAAGCGAAAAAUUUGAACAGCCUUUUAAUGGCUUUCCUUUCGAUUUUUUGUGAAGUUUUCUAGAUCUUAAUCUUUGAAGUGCCAAGUUCUUCUCUCCGUAAUCCAGGCGUAUGUGUGUGUGUUAAUGAAAUCAGCGAGGAGGGAUUUGAUCGGAGAUGAUGGAAGGGAAGGCUAGCUCUAGUUUCCCGUUUUUGUUCAGAGUGAGAGAAAAACGAGAUAUGAUAAUGUCUUCUCUCUAAUGAAAGAGGUCUAGGGUUUUA
rnacentral:lncRNA from 1 species